CCCGCACGGGCUCGGAAGGGUCCCCCGCCCCCUUGCCCACCAGCAGGACAGGCGAGGCCCCGGGGCGGGCGCCGGACUCCCUCCGGCAUCGCCCGAGGGCCUCUCCGGCCGGGCACCCUAUGCCCCGCCGCGCGCGUUCCCACAGACUUCUGUACGCUUCCCGGCUUCUCCCGGUUUAUUCCCGGCGGCCGCUGCCGCCUCGGGACACACAUUUACGCAGCAACACACAAACCCAUUCUGGCGACUCCGGGGGACCUGAGGAACCGGCGCGUAGAGGUGUAGGACUGAAGACCUUGGCUUUUGCUGGCUGUCCACUGGAGACUGCCCUCAGUUCCUAGGUGGCACCUGGCAUUCAUGGGCCAGCACGGCCACUUACUUCAUCAAGUCAGCAAGGAGAGUCUCCAGAGCGAACCUGCUAGCAAGAUGGAAUCACAUAUAACACAAGAGGAGAAAACUGAAGAUCAGAGAGGUUAGGUGAUUUGCCCAAGGUUUCACAGCUGAAUACCUCCAGGCAGCCAGGAGAAAGUACCGUCUUAUCCACGGUGAAGGGGGAAGACAUUCAGAUCCCAAGAGAGAUGAUUUGUAUACCUGUCGAGGCCAAGAUGAGUGUGCACCUGUGUGGUCAAAUGUAAUCCACAGUGGGGCUCUCACCAGGUUUCCGCCACAGGCCUGAAGGCAACGUUGCUGAAACUACAAGGUAUCUGCAUGGGUCACACCUGCUGCUGCCUCUGGGCCUGCGGUUCCUCACAGGAUUUUGAAGAAGCAUGUCCAUACUGCUUCCAGAUGCAGGUGCUGGAUAAAGCUGGAGUGUAUCUCCAGCCCAAGGCUAAACUGACACCCCAAAAUAUAGACUCUUAUUAAUUGAGAAGCAAAAUAAAUAUGCACUCAGGUUUAAAGAAGCAAAAAUUAUGAAGAAGCAGAAAGGCUCCAAAACUAUUUUGUUGAUUACUUGUAAAAUAUGCAUCAGAACACAAACUGGUAAAAUAACGGGAAAAGGAGAAGCAUCCUAUGGACGCUGAGAAACAAUUCCGCCACUCCUCAGAUUUAACCCUUGCAGGAAGACACAGAGACUAAAGUUCUGAGUUCUGCAAGUCCGGUUCCAAUGUCAAGAGCCCAGCCUGGUUUUCGAAACACCUCCAUCUGGACAGUCAAUACCCAUUUGCUCCUCAAAGGACGUGAGCAAAACAAAGAAACACUUCUCUUAACUAAAAAUGCAGCUUAGUCAGAAAGAAUUGCAAAAGAAUCCAAAGUGGAUUUCAGAAAUUCUUGUCUCCUCUGUAAAGAAUGGAUUUUGAGAAAUGUCUAAUGCUAUUUCUGAACUAAAGCUAGUCAGUAAAAAAAAUUUGUUUGACUUUUAUUUAUUUUCUGAAUACAUGGAAACCAAAUCCAAGAACAAACUUUCCUUGGCAUCCUUGGCAUUUGUGGGAAAUAAAAACCUCACUGGAUUGAAUAACUGAAACCUAUCCACCUCAAGUGUUGGUUGUGAGAUCAAAAAAAUAUGUGAAAGUGCUUGUCAGUGGUAAACUCAUAAGCA